rnacentral:rRNA from 1 species
GAGGGAAACUUACUGAUAAUACUGGAUAAGUUAGUAUAUCGCAUGAUAUGCAAAUGAAAGCUACGGCACUAAAGGAGAGCUUUGCGUCCUAUUAGCUAGUUGGUAAGGUAAGAGCUUACCAAGGCGAUGAUAGGUAGCCGGCCUGAGAGGGUGGACGGCCACAAGGGGACUGAGAUACGGCCCUUACUCCUACGGGAGGCAGCAGGC